UAGACAAGGGAUACUAUAGAUAUAACAUGUGUUCACGCGGCGAUCAGAAUAACACAGACGGAAUCAAGAUUGAACGUGUAAUGUUGUCACGCAAUCCAUCAAUCCGUGAUCGUAAUCGUGAUCAGAGCUGCAUAAUCUCGAUCCAGAUUGACUGUGUAACGGCCGCCUAUGGACCUUAUGCACCGGAAGGAGAACAACUAAUUAUUGUGACAUCCCAGCCAAAACUGGAAAAUAUCAAAAUAUAUUUUUUUUGUUAUGGCUCCAUCGUUCGCCAAAACGCCGCGCACAGGGGCCAAAACGAUGACUUUGCCAAUGACAAGGUUGAUAGAAGUGAAGACACGACGUCACGAUGAUAUUGACGAAAAUUACAAAGUUACGAAAUCUGUCUUUUCUGUCAUACUGAUCACAUAAGACAUGACAAUAUAAACCUCACAAAAUUCCGGAAACUAAAACAUGUAGUGCCAUCAAAAACUGUAAAAUUUUACAAAUCAUCCAUUCAUAACAUCAAUAGAAAUGGAAUAACAAGUAUCAAUAUCCUUCACGCAUCCUCCUAAGUAUAUUCAAACAGCACUUAUAAAAAUGGCCACAUUAUCCAGAUCUGUAUCAUUAAAGUUACUAGAUAAAGCUAUCUGCAAACUUUCGUUUCGAGGUAUAUUUGGACAUCCUUGUUGGUUUCACACUACUGGUCCAAAACACAGAAAGUAUGAGCGUAAAUACGGAUCGAAUAUACAUUUGCCUGGGAGUGAAUGCGUGCAAACACCAUUUGAACCUUUGUACUGCAUGCCGACCGAUGUAUUCCGUUGCACACAUUUAGAAGUAACUGCUUUUUAAACCUUUAUACCUAUUCAGAAUAUGUCUGUCGAGGUUGCUGCCUACCCUGAUAGAUGUAUACUUUGUUUGAUAGUUCUUCAACUUCACGGACCAAAUUUUGUUAUAGAUAAGUCUACAAUACGAUAUUUUGCAACUAGUCAAAUCAGUUAUUUUUUCUAAUGUCAAAAACAAAAAUGUAUAUUAUGCACAGAUAUAAAAAAACUUUACAAUUAUGGAGCUUGUAUUACAGUAAUAUCCUGUGACUUCACAAUUUUAUAGUUAAAAGAAAAGCAAAUAAAUAAAUUUAUAAAUAAA